UUUCCGUAGGUGAACCUGCGGAAGGAUCAUUAACGAGUAAGGGUCAUUCUGGCCCGACCUCAAACCCUUUGUUUAAUUACUAUGUUGCUUUGGCGGGCCCGUUUCACGACAGCCGGAGGUUCUCGGACUUCUCGCCCGUGCCGGCCAAUAGCCUUACACAAACUCUUGAUCAGUUGUGAUUUCUGAGUAAAAAAUUUAAUAGUUAAAACUUUCAACAACGGAUCACUUGGUUCUG
rnacentral:misc_RNA from 1 species